GUGCUCGUUUGAGCAGCACAUAUACUAAAAAGUUACAGUCAUACAGAGAAGAUUAUCAUGGCCCCUGUGCAAGGAUGACACACAAAUGCGUGAAGCGUUCUGUGUUUUU
ensembl:snRNA U6 U6 spliceosomal RNA